AUUGAACGCUGGCGGCAGGCUUAACACAUGCAAGUCGAGCGGGGUGAUGGUGCUUGCACUAUCACUUAGCGGCGGACGGGUGAGUAAUGCUUAGGAAUCUGCCUAUUAGUGGGGGACAACAUCUCGAAAGGGAUGCUAAUACCGCAGACGUCCUACGGGAGAUAGCAGGGGAUCACUUGUGACCUUGCGCUAAUAGAUGAGCCUAAGUCGGAUUAGCUAGUUGGCGGGGUAAAGGCCUACCAAGGCGACGAUCUGUAGCGGGUCUGAGAGGAUGAUCCGCCACACUGGGACUGAGACACGGCCCAGACUCCUACGGGAGGCAGCAGUGGGGAAUAUUGGACAAUGGGGGGAACCCUGAUCCAGCCAUGCCGCGUGUGUGAAGAGGGCCUUAUGGUUGUAAAGCACUUUAAGCGAGGAGGAGGCUCUUUUGGUUAAUACCCAAGAUGAGUGGACGUUACUCGCAGAAUAAGCACCGGCUAACUCUGUGCCAGCCGCCGCGGUAA
rnacentral:rRNA from 1 species